rnacentral:lncRNA from 1 species
AAGAAGCCAUUUUAUUCAAUUUAAUGUCAUUUUUAAAAUUAUAUUUCUUGCAUUUCUAAUUUCAUUUUUUUAAUAGAUUAUUCAAGGCAAAACAAAAAAGAGGAAAAUCCCACCAUCUAUCAUAGGGGUGGGCAUCUCAUCUAAAUUAUCCGCAUACCGACUGUACCGUACCGACGGUUUGGUUUGGUUUAGUUAAAUAAUUAUUUUUUAAUUUU